AUUGAACGCUGGCGGCAUGCCUUACACAUGCAAGUCGAACGGCAGCACGGGGCAACCUGGUGGCGAGUGGCGAACGGGUGAGUAAUGCAUCGGAACGUGCCAUUGAGUGGGGGAUAACGUAGCGAAAGUUGCGCUAAUACCGCAUAUUCUGUGAGCAGGAAAGCAGGGGACCGCAAGGCCUUGCGCUCUUUGAGCGGCCGAUGUCAGAUUAGCUAGUUGGUGAGGUAACGGCUUACCAAGGCGACGAUCUGUAGCGGGUCUGAGAGGAUGAUCCGCCACACUGGAGCUGAGACACGGUCCAGACUCCUACGGGAGGCAGCAGUGGGGAAUUUUGGACAAUGGGCGCAAGCCUGAUCCAGCCAUGCCGCGUGAGUGAAGAAGGCCUGG
rnacentral:rRNA from 1 species